CCUACGGGAGGCAGCAGUGGGGAAUAUUGCGCAAUGGGCGAAAGCCUGACGCAGCGACGCCGCGUGAGGGAUGAAGGUCUUCGGAUCGUAAACCUCUGUCAGCAGGGAAGAACGGUCACUGUGCUAAUCAGCAGUGAAUUGACGGUACCUGCAAAGGAAGCACCGGCUAACUCCGUGCCAGCAGCCGCGGUAAUACGGAGGGUGCGAGCGUUAAUCGGAAUUACUGGGCGUAAAGCGCUCGUAGGCGGUAUGUCAAGUCAAGGGUGAAAUCCCCGCGCUCAACGUGGGAACUGCCUUUGAAACUGUACGGCUGGAGUGCAGGAGAGGUAAGUGGAAUUCCUAGUGUAGCGGUGAAAUGCGUAGAUAUUAGGAGGAACAUCAGUGGCGAAGGCGACUAUCUGGCACAUAACUGACGCUGAGGAGCGAAAGCGUGGGUAGCAAACAGGAUUAGAUACCCUGGUAGUC
rnacentral:rRNA from 1 species